rnacentral:rRNA from 1 species
AUUGAACGCUGGCGGCAUGCCUUACACAUGCAAGUCGAACGGCAGCGGGGGAGAAGCUUGCUUUUCCUGCCGGCGGAUGGCGAACGGGUGAGUAAUACAUCGGAACGUGCCCUGUAGUGGGGGAUAACUAGUCGAAAGAUUAGCUAAUACCGCAUACGACCUGAGGGUGAAAGUGGGGGACCGCAAGGCCUCAUGCUAUAGGAGCGGCCGAUGUCUGAUUAGCUAGUUGGUGGGGUAAAGGCCUACCAAGGCGACGAUCAGUAGCUGGUCUGAGAGGACGAUCAGCCACACUGGGACUGAGACACGGCCCAGACUCCUACGGGAGGCAGCAGUGGGGAAUUUUGGACAAUGGGCGAAAGCCUGAUCCAGCAAUGCCGCGUGUGUGAAGAAGGCCUUCGGGUUGUAAAGCACUUUUGUCCGGAAAGAAAUGGCUCUGGUUAAUACCUGGGGUCGAUGACGGUACCGGAAGAAUAAGGACCGGCUAACUGCGUGCCAGCCGCCGCGGUAA